rnacentral:lncRNA from 1 species
CAUAUUCUAACCUCCUCAUUUAUAAGGUAAAACCUCUCAUUCAUUAUGCAAGUUGUUUAAUGUGUUAACGAAGCACUUAAAUAAGCUUCAUUUAUUGUAUUGCAUUGAAUUUCAAUUUACUUAUAAAUAGAAUGCGUUCGUAAAUGAAAUAAAGAUACGAGAAAAUUAUAUGUUUACAUUAAGUAUUCUUUUAUUUGAUUAUUUUAUAACAAGACUUUUAUUUUUUAAAAUCUAAAUUUUCUCUGUUUUUUAAAAAAAUACUAUUUUUCUUAAAGAUUAAAACUUUUACUUUGAAA